GAUGAACGCUGGCGGCGUGCCUAAUACAUGCAAGUCGAGCGAACGGACGAGAAGCUUGCUUCUCUGAUGUUAGCGGCGGACGGGUGAGUAACACGUGGAUAACCUACCUAUAAGACUGGGAUAACUUCGGGAAACCGGAGCUAAUACCGGAUGAUAUUUUGAACCGCAUGGUUCAAAAGUGAAAGACGGUCUUGCUGUCACUUAUAGAUGGAUCCGCGCUGCAUUUGCUAGUUGGUAAGGUAACGGCUUACCAAGGCAACGAUGCAUAGCCGACCUGAGAGGGUGAUCGGCCACACUGGAACUGAGACACGGUCCAGACUCCUACGGGAGGCAGCAGUAGGGAAUCUUCCGCAAUGGGCGAAAGCCUGACGGAGCAACGCCGCGUGAGUGAUGAAGGUCUUCGGAUCGUAAAACUCUGUUAUUAGGGAAGAACAUAUGUGUAAGUAACUGUGCACAUCUUGACGGUACCUAAUCAGAAAGCCACGGCUAACUACGUG
rnacentral:rRNA from 1 species